rnacentral:rRNA from 1 species
UACCAGCACCCCGAGUGGUCGGGACGAUUAUUGGGCCUAAAGCAUCCGUAGCCGGUUCUACAAGUCUUCCGUUAAAUCCACCUGCUCAACAGAUGGGCUGCGGAGGAUACUAUAGAGCUAGGAGGCGGGAGAGGCAAGCGGUACUUAGUGGGUAGGGGUAAAAUCCGUAGAUAUUCGGAAGAACACCAGUGGCGAAGGCGACUUACUGGACACAUAUUGACGCUGAGGUGCGAAAGCGUGGGGAGCAAACAGG